rnacentral:lncRNA from 1 species
UAAAUUUGUUCGAUUUAAUGAUUCAAUUUCCUGUACCGACAAAAACCCUAGAAAUUCUUUUCUAGAGAUAUUACAUACAAAAUCCAGAACAUAGACAAUUUCUAGAGGCGCUGCACUCUGAAGUGAUCACGCUGCUCUUCUUGCAGUCAUAGUGCCGCCGCUACCACUUGGUUUAAAAUCAGAUACAUUCGUGAUGAUGGAGUCUUCGGAGGCGGCGGCGGCGGUGCGGUGCGUGGAGGUCUACUGCGGUGGCUGGUUUUGUGGCCGCCGAGUGCUUGGCAUGACGGAAAAGACUUUCCGUACACGUCACACUUGUGCAACUGCUUCUGGCCCAGUGGAGUAGUGGAAGAUGGUUCGACACUCUUCUUGUACUCUGUGGCUUUGAUGGUGGUGGGAGUGGUGGUAGUGGUGGCGGAAGGGGGAUUGAAUUCUUUAGUUUUGGCGGCGGCAGGAGUGGUGGUUGGAGGGUCUUGAGAUAGCAUGAUGAGGACUGUUAUGAAAAAUAGAGUUGAUUGGAUUUCAGAU